UACGUAGGGGGCAAGCGUUGUCCGGAAUCAUUGGGCGUAAAGCGCGUGUAGGCGGCCUUGUAAGUCCGUUCUGAAAGUCCGGGGCUCAACCCCGGGAGGCGGAUGGAUACUGCAAGGCUCGAGUACGGAAGAGGCGAGUGGAAUUCCCGGUGUAGCGGUGAAAUGCGCAGAUAUCGGGAGGAACACCAAUGGCGAAGGCAGCUCGCUGGGACGUUACUGACGCUGAGACGCGAAAGCCAGGGGAGCGAACGGG
rnacentral:rRNA from 1 species